rnacentral:snRNA from 1 species
AAGAUAAAGUGUGAAUCACAAAC